AGUGGGCAAGUGGGUAGAAAAGCACUCAAGUACUUUGUGAUAUUUUGAAGAGUUUUGUGAGCAAUUCCCACACUAAGAACCGAUCACUCUCCCUCUCUCAUUCACUCAUCUGAUUUUUUGAGGACCUCUCAAAGUGUUCCCUCAAUAUUCAACCUCAAGAACACCAAGGAAAACUUGGAGGCUAAGUCUUGGUGUAGGAAGUAUUUUUCCCUAAGUUGGUUAGGGUUUUUGAAAGGUUUUGGAGGAGCCAAAGCUAAUAGGAAGGUCCAAACCUUAAGCAAGAACACCAAAGAGGUAAGUGCAAGGGCAAGGCAGAGCAGUGAGCGCUGGAGCCUUCCUUACAAAUGUACAUGUGGACCGACGUUUUGGGAAGCCGUUUUAUUUUUGGAAAUGUUGUGUAAUUUUCCUAAACUAGGCUCACUCUAAUCUUUAUAAAACAUGUUUGUAACUAAAUGUUAAGUAUGGCCAUACGACUUUUUAAAAAGUU